rnacentral:lncRNA from 1 species
UGGGUCGCUUUUUUUGUACUGUGAAGUCCUGAUUUUCAUUCAGCAAUGCAAAUAAUUCUGGUUUUAGCUUGACCGUGUGAUGUCCAAUCACAGUAUAUAUAUUAGCUUUAAAUCCAUUAAUUUUAGAUAUACGUGUAUGACACAGUGUGGAACUGCACCCGUCACCAGAUAGUAAAGAGAACACUUCUAGGGUCUGUACCACCCAGACUGAUCGUUUUGCACUUCACAUUUCACAGUCAUGGGCCUUUGAAGCCCAUCACUCCAAGCCUUCUGCUUUAUGAACCAAAUUUUGCUGCAUUCAGAAACCCUGAGAGAGCAGGGGAGAGGACAAGUCUUACUGACAGAAGCAGACAGAGCCUCAGUAAAUACAACUCUUCCUAUCAAACCUACAGGAACAGUUCGGCUUUACAGCAGUCACAUUAACAAAGGAAGAGGGAGGCAGAGGAGGGUAUCUUUUCCCAGUCAGUAUCCAAAUUCCCAGAAGGACCAAUGUACAUAAGAGAAAACCAUCAGUCUGUUCACCAAGAUGCAUUACAGUGUUCCAUUUUCCGCUCGUUUUAGGUCAAGUGGAAGCUUCUUUUUUCAGUUUUUCUAAUACUUCAUCUGGUGUCACCGAUACCAAAAUCUUCACCACUUUAUCACGUGAUUUCCCACCCUUCUCUAAAAUAACAUCACUCUUCUUCACUCCUAGCACCUUAGAGAGGUAGCGGCACAGCUCUGCGUUCGCCUCCCCUUCUGAUGGCGGUGCAGCAAUAGCCACACCUACUGCCUCGGCUGUCACAUCUGUCACGGCGCUGCAGCGGGAGCCGGGCUUGGCGCGCACCGACACCCUCACGCCGCCGUCGCCCGCUGCCACCACCGGCCCCGCGGCGGCGCCGGGCUCGGCGGACUCCUUCCCGGCCGCUUUGCCCUUCCGGGGCAUGUCCCCGCCGCGGCCCCGUAGCGGCGCCAACAGCCGCUGACGGCAUCCGGCGAGGGUCAGCAUGGCCCGGCGCCGCCCUUCCGGGAGCAGCGCUAACCCCGCCCCUCGGCUGCGCAUGCGCGUCACGGUGCUCGGCGCUGCGGAGCCGGAACGGAAUGGCUGCGUUGGAGGCGUGCUUUGGGACUUCAACCCGGUAUGUACCACAUACAUCCGUGGCCUGCAGCAAAUGACUGUAGAGCAAGUUGCACGCAAAUAGGCCAGAGUUGAUAAUAAUUCUUUAGUAUUAGAUUACCCAGUCAAAAUAAGAUCAUUACAAGGCUUGUAUUCCCAUUUUCACAUUGUACAUUUUCUUAUAGGCACAUACGUAUAUACAAUGGCUAUUUCCAUAACCAGCUCUAUAUUCCAAAACAGCCCUUCUUAAUUAAAAGAGAUUCUGCAAAGAUCCAUUCAUUGGAGGAUUUGCUAUAGCAUUUCUUCACUGCAGCUGCAGAUACUGCGUGGAGUGCUAAGUCCGACAACUCACCAUUGACAGCAAUAUGAAUCCAGCUUUGCUCAUGUACUUGGAAAAAAAAAUAAGUAGUAAUUCAUGUCCACAGGGUCAUUCCAAGGUUGUUGUACAGAGAAGUGCAAGCUGGGAGUGCAGCAGCAGAGGUACUGUCUUUGUAAGACAAGUUGAGGAACAUGUGCAGAUGAAAUUCAUAACCAGUAUGUAUUUUCCAGUUCAAGAAAUGAAUUCAACUAUAUGAGAAACGAAGGGUUCAAAAUACAAAGCCAUUAAAUCACAACAUACCACUCAAAACAACCUUCAGUAUACAGAGUACUUACUCCACACUUUGUUAAAAGGAAAAGUUAAAUUAGGUUCCACCAACCACGACGCAGAUAAAAUUGCUUUCCUGGCACCUCUCAAACAAGUCAGUUCUGUUUUUACACAUUCGGGUCAUUUCAUAGCAUUGCCAACUCACUAUGGGUGACAGUGAAAGUCCACUGAUAGGCUGACACGGAGGUGAUCAUGUGAAAUUAUGUAUAAAAUAUUAUUUCUGGUAUCUGUCCAUCUUCUAUCGAUGUACCAUUAUUGUUACCCGGCGAACUAUAAAAGACAAAGCAUGUUUUGCUAGCAGUAGGAGAUUCGUGGAUUACUUUCUUCAAUCCUUUUGUUCCAUAGUGGGAAUCAGGACCCUGAAAAACAGCAGAGGAGAUGAGCAGCAGGAUGGAAACGCGAGCACGACCCAUACAAUGUUGAAGUUCAAACACUACUGAUUUACAUCAUUUUAACAAUAAAAAAAUGUCUGUAUCCACAUGACAGAAGUUUCAUUCUAAAUUACAAAUAACAGAAGCAGAUCCUGUAAGUCUAACCAAAAAAGGUUCCUCUGACAGUAGGCCUAAACCACUUGGUUUUACCCCACUAAUAAUGAAUAAAUGUUUUCUGAUACUUCUUGUCACACAAGUUGUCUGUAUUUUCACUUCAUCUCCCACCUCAGAUGCUUUAAUGGGCAGCAUUUUUUCCAAUCCAUUCGACUUUGAAUUCCGUACAGGGAAUUAUCUUUAAAACAAUAUUAUUUUUAAAAGAUUUUACAGAAAAUGUUGAAUGAGUCAAUUUUCCUAGAACAAACCAUUCUUUUCCUUUAUCUUAGCACUAGCAUAUAAAAGCGAGAAAAGAAAGCUGUCAGUGUUCUUGACUAUAGCUGGUCCUUAACAAAAGAAAUCAAACAAGUUUUGACAAAGACAGCUGUCAGAUUAAAUAUUCCAAAUAGUGCUUCUGCCCACACAGAACCACAGUGACUUCCAUUAGGACUUGUUUUAACUCCUGUCAGUGGGAAAUCACAAAGGAUCCAGUUAUAAAUUCUGUGCUGCGGCACAGAACAGAGAGAAAGCAGCUUUAAAAGUUACCAUACAGUUUAGCUACUGCCUCCUUUCACACAAAGCAUAGCAUGAGACCAAGAUGACACGUUCCCUCACAAAACAGAUAAGAGGUAAACCUUUGCAUCACAAUAAAAUAUUAUUUUACACUGUUAAGCAUUCUUACUUUUAAUGUUGCACAGGCUGUGUAGCAAACUGUGGGCAAAAUCUCUAUAGGCUCUUUGAACAUAACUCUGAACGUACUGGCAGUUCCAUCACAGCUAAAUCCAGUGUCGUUUUGUCCCAGAGUUUGAUUCUUCUCAUAAUCAAUUAUCUGUAUAUUAACUUGAUAGUCUGUGGGUCCAUGAAUAGAUCCAUAUAAUCCAAAUCCCACUAUGGAAAUUCUUCUAUUAACUGUGAACCUAAUGCGAUCACUUGUUCCACUGUAGCCCCAGCGACUCUCCACUUGUUGGAACCUGUUAAUGCUGCAUUCUUUUCCUCUGAGGCAACAUCUUGGUCGGUCUAUAUAAUCUACUUUUGGCUUAGGAUUGACAGUAAAAUGUAGAAAAAGAUUU